rnacentral:rRNA from 1 species
GACGAACGCUGGCGGCGCGCUUAACACAUGCAAGUCGAGCGAGAACCGGGGCUUCGGCCCCGGGGACAGCGGCGAACGGGUGAGUAACACGUGGGUAAUCUGCCCUCGGCGCCGGGAUAGCCCGGGGAAACCCGGAUUAAUACCGGAUGUCCCCUCAGCCCUUCGGGGCAGUGGGAAAAGGUAGCUUCGGCCUCCGGCCGAGGAGGAGCCCGCGGCCGAUUAGCUUGUUGGCGGGGUAACGGCCCACCAAGGCGACGAUCGGUAGCUGGUGUGAGAGCAUGAUCAGCCACACUGGGACUGAGACACGGCCCAGACUCCUACGGGAGGCAGCAGUGGGGAAUCUUGCGCAAUGGGCGAAAGCCUGACGCAGCGACGCCGCGUGCGGGAAGAAGGCCUUCGGGUUGUAAACCGCUUUCAGGAGGGACGAAGCCACUCGGGUUAAUAGCCCAGAGGGUGACGGUACCUCCAGAAGAAGCCCCGGCUAACUACGUGCCAGCCGCCGCAGUAACAC